CCCUUAGAUGUUCUGGGCUGCACGCGCGCUACACUGAUGCAUUCAACGAGCCUAUCCUUGACCGACAGGUCCGGGUAAUCUUUGAAUCUGCAUCGUGACGGGGAUAGAUUAUUGCAAUUAUUAAUCUUCAACGAGGAAUGCCUAGUAGGCGCAAGUCAUCAGCUUGCGUCGAUUACGUCCCUGCCCUUUGUACACACCGCCCGUCGCUCCUACCGAUUGGGUGUGCUGGUGAAAUGUUCGGAUCGGCCGUUUGUCGCGGUUUCCGCGGCUCGUGGCUGAGAAGUUCAUUAAACCCUCCCACCUAGAGGAAGGAGAAGUCGUAACA
rnacentral:rRNA from 1 species